AUUGAACGCUGGCGGCAUGCCUUACACAUGCAAGUCGAACGGUAGAGUAGCAAUACUUGAGAGUGGCGAACGGGUGAGUAAUAUAUCGGAACGUGCCCAGUCGUGGGGGAUAACGUAGAGAAAUUUACGCUAAUACCGCAUACGAUCUAAGGAUGAAAGCGGGGGAUUCGCAAGAACCUCGCGCGAUUGGAGCGGCUGAUAUCAGAUUAGGUUGUUGGUGAGGUAAAAGCUCACCAAGCCGACGAUCUGUAGCUGGUUUGAGAGAACGACCAGCCACACUGGGACUGAGACACGGCCCAGACUCCUACGGGAGGCAGCAGUGGGGAAUUUUUGGACAAUGGGCGGCAAGCCUGAUCCAGCAAUGCCGCGUGCAGGAUGAAGGCCU
rnacentral:rRNA from 1 species